CCGCUUUUUUUCUUUUUCCAGUUCACAUCUGAGGAUUCCACACUGUAACCCGGAAAUGAAAAGGAGAAAAUGGGACAGAUCAAAGAGCAUCUUUACCGAGCCAAGGCGUUAUAAUUCAGUAAUGGCAAUCUAAUGGGAGGCUGGCAAAAGCAAACUCAAGCAGAGAUCAGUGUCAAAAAGAUUCAACACUUCAACAGUCCGAGUGCAUGCCAGGGACUCACAAACUGUAGCGUGUGGCACGAGCCCCUGGCGGUGCUGUCAACAACACAGCAGGACUCCUUCCUGAAGUUUCUGAGGUGGUAAAUCUGGAGUUGGGGCUUGCCAGUGAGCAUCUCUCACAGGAUCACAGUGGUUCCAAGCUUGGCUGCAGAGUGGUAUCAUCAGGGAGCUUUACAAAGCUGGAGUGAUGCAGGGAUGCACAUCUAAUGCCAAUCCUUAGAUUCUCCAGCGAGAUGGCUUAGUACAGAUGCUCAUUGCUAAGCUUGACAACCUGAGUUCAAUCCCUGGGGCUACAAGGUGAACGGAGAGAACCAACUCCUAUCACUGCGGCUCUCACCCCUCAUCAUGGAAGCUCCUUUUGCAGCUGACAGAGACUACUGUCAUAAUUGGUCAAACUGCAGAGACAACUGAUUGUAGGUUGCCCAGCUGCAAAUGAUCCACCUACAACACACCUCCUCUACCUAAGGCUCAGGGGACACCGAAGAAGGAGCAGAAAUUGUCCAAAUAAGCUACAGGACCAAAAAGUCUGCCAUGAGAUUGUGUCUCCUAGAAAUCACAGACCUUGAAUUCCUUUUUGAGGCUUCUCUCUUUAGGACUCAGCUCAUGGCCCCAUACAAAGGGAGCAAGAAGGUCUUACAAAGGGAGCAAGAAGGUCUUGAGACCCCUCCCAAACCCACACAGCCAAGGGUAAAGCAGGGAUGUCUCUAUGGAUGCCCAGAUUGCACCAACAGACUCUCUAAAAUGGCUUCCAAGGGAGCAGCCCAGUUCCCCAGAAGUCUCUGGUGGUAUUGUAGGGCUCUGGUGUUGGGGACAGAGAAGCGGUGUGUUCUAUGGCAGAUAUAUCACAAAGGACUACGGAUUUUGGACACCAGUUGCUGCCUCAUGGCCAUACCAGCAUCAAACCCAGGAAGUGAAUGGCAUGAGCCAUGGCAUCUUCUGGAGGCUGGGUAGCCGCUGGAGCUCUGGACCCCAUGUGCCUCCUCAGCCCUCUCAGGGGUCCCACUUCAGGGUUUGGGACGUUGGCAGUUGUGAUGUCCAGGAAGAUGAAUGCUGACAUGGAGUGAUAUGGGUGAUGUUGGGAAGAGGCAUGUGAGAAGACACUACUAAGGAUGGGUAUUCUAACACCUAGUAGGACCACACAAGGCAUCUAGAACAGAUAGGAUGAAUACAAAGACUAGAAAAGUGAUUAACCCAGAAGAAGGUAGAACAGAAGGAACCAAGGAACAAACCGAAUGCUAUAAAUAUAAAACAAAUGAGAAGCUACCGGACUUGUACCCAACUCUAAAACUAACCACACUAAAUGUAAUGAACUAGGUAUCCCUAUUUAAGCCAGGGAUCAUUGGGUUAGGUAAUUCAUGGUUGAUAGGUAGACUUUUUCCAACUGCCCCAAGAGUAGCCCAUGACACCAGAUAUGGAGUCAUUGAAGUGGGGCCCCUGUGUCUACUCUCCUGCUCUCCUACAUGGGGCAACUGGACAUCCCCAGGAGCUAGUUAUCCUGGGUGGUGGUAGCCCUGGAAAUCUUAGUGAGGCCACCAUUAUCCUAAGACCCCAUUCCUUCCUUCCUUCAGAAGACUCCGGGCUGUGGGCUUACCUGUCAUUGGCAACAGGGAGGGCAAUCUCGAACUUGGCAAGGAACUGGAAGUAUUGCUCCUCAGUCUGCUGUGUGAAGCCUGUCCCCACCAGCAGCAUCCUGAGGUCUUCCGCUUGGAUCACCCCAUUCUUUGCCACUGACCGCGAGCCCUUGAUGUUAAAGAUCCUCUGCAGGCAUUCAGAGAGCCAGAUGGGAUCCAGGAAGUAGAGGUUCCUUAGGCCAUGGCUCGUGUCUGGAAAGUGCAGCAGGGUCCCAGUUUCUAUGAGGAAGCUGAUGGCUGCCAAGAGGGAGGGAGGAAGCUGUGUCAGAACCACAUGGGACCAAAGGGGACUCAGGAAGAAACCAAGACUUCUGGCAUGCCAGGCCCAUGAUGACAUUUACUCAUGAUCCUCCUAAAGCAACCCGUGAGGCGCUUCCACAGUUCUGUGUAGGUACUUGCUGAGCUGCAUGCAAAGUGUGAGUGGUCCCAUGUACAUGUUCCUAACCGAGCUCUUAUCCCGUGAGUGUCCCUUCUAUGGUCUAUUGAUUGCCAUGUUAUCUGGGAGGUAAUUUUGCUGUCUAAAAUGACCCUCCAAAACAGGGCUAAAAGGUUGUCUAGUGUUUCUACGUACAAGACUGUGAUUUACAGAGAAAAUAUGUCAUUAGAUAAACAGUGUUGAGGCAGAAAUUAUAUAAAGGCCACUGCAUGACCUAAUAUUUCAGCAAUACCUGUUACAUAAUUAGAUAAGGUGUAUGUGUAUAUUGUUAACUUGAUACAAUCAAGAAUCACGUAGAAGAAUUGCAAUUGAGGAAUGAGCUAGAUCAGUUUGGCCUGUGGGCGUAUCUGUGGGAGACUACCUUAUUAAUUGAUAUAGCCCAUUGUGGGUGGCACCAUUCCCUAGACAGGGAAUCCUAAGUAGUAUAAAAAAGAAGAAGGCUAGCAAGGAACUGAGCAAUCAGCCAGCAGGAGUCCAUUUGUUUCCCUUUCCUCUUGACUGUGGAUGUGAUGUGAUGUGAUGAACUUCCAGGAUUUCUGCUUUGACUUACUCAUAGUGAUGGACUGGAACCUGGAAUUGUAAGCCAAGUCAACCCUCUCCUCCUCUAAGUUGCUGUGGUCAGCAUAUUUUAUCACACCAAAUGAAAGGAAACCAGAACAGAGGCAUAUGUGAAACAAGGUUAUUGACUGCUUCAUUGAUGCCAGUGUGACUAGAAGCAGACAAGAACCUAACCUUAUCUUCCUCCAGGAGCAAUGGUCUGUAUCUGCCAACGCAGUAGCCAUAGCGACAUUUUAGAUGCUAACUACCAUGAACAAUAAGAACUGGUUGUAAUUGUUUAGCCUGGACCAAAGUCCUGGAGGGUGGUGACCAGUUUGACUUUUGCCUGUCGUGCAUCCUCUGCAGAACAGCUGCCAUGUUCUCUGUCCAAGGAAAAAGGGGCAGGUGGAGGGAUGGUAGGGGUGGGGUAGCAAGGAAAAGUGGAGGGAGGCAGCACAUGGGCAGGCAGACUCCAGGCAGUGUUGAGUGCUGUCACGUAAACCUGCUAGCCUGCUGUGCUGAGGGUCCAGGUGGAGAUGUGAUGAACAGGACCCUCACAGAUGUCUCACCCCACCCUCCGCCAGCCUUCCGGUCCCCCAUACCAAUGCCUGGGUACCCACUCCUGGCCUACCAGACUGCAGGUCUUC